CAUGAAACAAAAACAUAAGCAAAACCACAAAGACCGUCACAUUCUUGACGUUCCUGACAAUAUUACAACAUAGUCACGCCCGGUCACGCCUCUGUGCUAAACCGCGAGUGCUAUUGUUCUGCCACCUAUUGGAAGUAACUUUAAUUAUCAAUUUCCAGUGGUACCAAUAGCAACCUCAACGAACGGGGAUGAAUUUACCUUAAAAGAUUAAGUAGCGGGAAGGGAUUCAGAGAUUGUCACCUUCUGGGUCCUGACACCGUAGAUGAUUGUAAAGAAAUUCUCUCCUUUCCUGACGCGGUAAUUACAGUUAGCGGGUGUUUCAUUUCAAAUUUAUUCACGGAGCGUCAUUAAGUGAAACGAUGACGUAGUUUUCAUGUCUACCGAAGUUAUUUGUGGGCACAGGAACUAGAACGACCGCAGAAAAUUAUGUGUGACGCUCAUUAAGAGAGAAGAUAGAAUAAUAACAAACUUCAAACUGCUUCUAAGGGAUCUUGGGACAUGUAGCACUGGGAAGUGAGGAGACAUGACAGUCUGCGCAGUAGUACUGUAUCGGCCUUCACUAAGGACCCAGAAUAAGCUAUAAUGACCAAGUCAACCCUGGGAAUCGAUCCAAGGUCCAUAGAGCUAGCUAAUCCAGAUGGAAGGUUGUGCAACACCAUCUAACAACCUGUCAUCCCUUGGGAAGCCGAUUCAGCUGGUCGUGUCCUUGAGGUCAGCAUGGGGUGCAGUGCCCAUGCAUUCAACAUCUUUCUGCCUCCUCCAGUGCAACUGCUAUUUUCUCAUUUGAAAGCAACACG